GGGCAGGUGGUGAAAUGGCAGACACGUACGGUUCAGGGCCGUAUGCCGUAAGGCAUGAGGGUUCAAGUCCCUCCCUGCCCA
rnacentral:tRNA from 1 species